UACGAAGGGGGCUAGCGUUGCUCGGAAUCACUGGGCGUAAAGGGUGCGUAGGCGGGUUCUUAAGUCAGAGGUGAAAUCCUGGAGCUCAACUCCAGAACUGCCUUUGAUACUGAGAGUCUUGAGUAUGACAGAGGUGAGUGGAACUGCGAGUGUAGAGGUGAAAUUCGUAGAUAUCCGCAAGAACACCAGUGGCGAAGGCGGCUCACUGGGUCAUUACUGACGCUGAGGCACGAAAGCGUGGGGAGCAAACAGG
rnacentral:rRNA from 1 species